GAGAAUAUUUCCUGGGGAGAAAUUUCUGCUCCAAUGGGGAAAGUCAACUGCAUACCUUGCUCACUCUUAUGGAAAGGAUGAACCACGUCACAAGAACAGGAAGGUUCACCUCCAGCCCACUGCAGGCAGAAGGAAUUACUGCUCUACCUCGCAGGCAAGAAGAAACAUAGAUUUUACCAAUGAGAAAUGAGGAGGCCUGCCAGAAUCCCAGCUGACCCUGCACACUUACUGAGAAC
rnacentral:lncRNA from 1 species